CCUACGGGCGACAGCAGUGAGGAAUAUUGGUCAAUGGACGAGAGUCUGAACCAGCCAAGUAGCGUGAAGGAUGACUGCCCUAUGGGUUGUAAACUUCUUUUAUAAAGGAAUAAAACGAGGCACGUGUGCCUUUUUGCAUGUACUUUAUGAAUAAGGAUCGGCUAACUCCGUGCCAGCAGCCGCGGUAAUACGGAGGAUCCGAGCGUUAGCCGGAUUUAUUGGGUUUAAAGGGAGCGUAGAUGGGUUGUUAAGUCAGUUGUGAAAGGUUGCGGCUUAACCGUAAAAUUGCAAUUGAUACUGGCAGUCUUGAGUACAGUUGAGGUAGGCGGAAUUCGUGGUGUAGCGGUGAAAUGCUUAGCUAUCACGAAGAACCCCGAUUGCGAAGGCAGCUUACUAAACUGUGACUGACAUUGAUGCUCGAAAGUGUGGGUAUCAAACAGGAUUAGAUACCCGAGUAGUC
rnacentral:rRNA from 1 species